rnacentral:rRNA from 1 species
AGAGUUUGAUCCUGGCUCAGGACGAACGCUGGCGGCGCGCUUAACACAUGCAAGUCGAACGCUUUCAUCACCUUCGGGGGGUGGAGGAGUGGCGAACGGGUGCGUAACACGUGAGCAACCUGCCUUGGGGUGGGGGAUAACCUCGGGAAACCGGGGCUAAUACCGCAUACGGUCUCCUUCUCACCUGAGAGGGAGAGGAAAGGUGCUUUCGGGCACCGCCUUGAGAGGGGCUCGCGGCGUAUCAGCUAGUUGGUGAGGUAACGGCUCACCAAGGCGAUGACGCGUAGGGGGUCUGAGAGGAUGGCCCCCCACAUUGGGACUGAGAUACGGCCCAGACUCCUACGGGAGGCAGCAGUGGGGAAUCUUGCGCAAUGGCCGAAAGGCUGACGCAGCGACGCCGCGUGCGGGAGGACGCCUUUCGGGGUGUAAACCGCUGUCAGGGGGGACGAAGGCUUGGGGGAGGUAAUGCUCCUGAGAUUGACGGUACCCCCAGAGGAAGCACCGGCUAACUCCGUGCCAGCAGCCGCGGUAAUACGGAGGGUGCAAGCGUUGUCCGGAAUGAUUGGGCGUAAAGCGCACGUAGGCGGUUCUUUAAGUCUCAUGGUGAAAGGCUGGGGCUCAACCCCAAGCAAGCCGGGGAUACUGGAGGACUGGAGACAGGUAGAGGCCAGCGGAAUUCCGGGUGUAGCGGUGGAAUGCGUAGAGAUCCGGAAGACACCGGAGGCGAAGGCGGCUGGCUGGACCUGAUCUGACGCUGAGUGCGAAGCGUGGGGAGCGAACAGGAUUAGAUACCCUGGUAGUCACGCGUAAACGAUGGGCACUGGAUGCNGGCGGAUCGACCGUUCGGUGUCGUAGCUAACGCGUNAGUGCCCGCU